rnacentral:rRNA from 1 species
AGAGUUUGAUCAUGGCUCAGAAUCAACGCUGGCGGCGCGCCUAACACAUGCAAGUCGAACGAGAAAGUGGAGCAAUCCAUGAGUAAAGUGGCGUACGGGUGAGUAACACGUGGAUCAUCUGCCCUUUUGUGGGGAAUACCGAUGGGAAACCGUCGACAAUACCGCAUAAUCCCGAGAGGGGAAAGCAGCAAUGCGCAGAAGGAGGAGUCCGCGGUCGAUUAGCUAGUUGGUGAGGUAAUGGCUCACCAAGGCUGUGAUCGAUAGCCGGCCUGAGAGGGCACACGGCCACACUGGCACUGAAACACGGGCCAGACUCCUACGGGAGGCAGCAGUGGGGAAUCUUGCACAAUGGGGGAAACCCUGAUGCAGCGACGCCGCGUGAGCGAUGAAGCCCUUCGGGGUGUAAAGCUCUUUCGGCAGGGAAGAUUAUGACGGUACCUGCAGAAGCAGCUGCGGCUAACUACGUGCCAGCAGCCGCGGUAAUACGUAGGCAGCAAGCGUUGUUCGGAGUUACUGGGCGUAAAGGGUGCGUAGGCGGCUCUGUAAGUAUGGUGUGAAAUCUCCCGGCUUAACUGGGAGGGUGCGCUAUAGACUGCGGGGCUUGAGUGUGGGAGAGGAAAGUGGAAUUCCUGGUGUAGCGGUGAAAUGCGUAGAUAUCAGGAGGAACACCGGUGGUGUAAACGGCUUUCUGGACCAUAACUGACGCUGAGGCACGAAAGCGUGGGUAGCAAACAGGAUUAGAUACCCUGGUAGUCCACGCCCUAAACGAUGCACAUUUGGUGUGGGUCAUUCAGUUGAUCCGUGCCGGAGCUAACGCGUUAAAUGUGCCGCCUGGGGAGUACAGUCGCAAGGCUGAAACUCAAAGGAAUUGACGGGGGCCCGCACAAGCGGUGGGAGCAUGUGGUUUAAUUCGACGCAACGCGAAGAACCC